rfam:Candidate division Hyd24-12 bacterium Vib_1 contig90, whole genome shotgun sequence.
GGCUUUUUUCGCACAGGCGGAGCUCGACCGCAGACGGCGGAGAUGACUGCGUUCAUAGAUGCUCAUCGUGAGCAGUACGGGGUCGAGUCGAUCUGCAGGGUUCUGCCGAUCGCCCCA